GGAUGCGAUCAUACCAGCACUAAUGCACCGGAUCCCAUCAGAACUCCGAAGUUAAGCGUGCUUGGGCGAGAGUAGUACUAGGAUGGGUGACCCCUUGGGAAGUCCUCGUGUUGCAUCCC
rnacentral:rRNA from 1 species